AGUGAACGCUGGCGGUAGGCCUAACACAUGCAAGUCGAACGGCAGCACAGUAAGAGCUUGCUCUUACGGGUGGCGAGUGGCGGACGGGUGAGGAAUACAUCGGAAUCUACUUUUUCGUGGGGGAUAACGUAGGGAAACUUACGCUAAUACCGCAUACGACCUACGUGUGAAAGCAGGGGAGCUUCGGACCUUGCGCGAUUGAAUGAGCCGAUGUCUGAUUAGUUAUUUGGCGAGGUAAAAACCCACCAAGUGGACUAUCCGUAGUUUGUUUGAGAGGAUGGUCAGCAACAUUGUACUAGAGACACGGUCCAGGCUCCUACGGGAGGCAUCAGUGGGUAACAUGGGACAAUGGGCGCAAGUCUGAUCAAGUCAUACCGCGUCUGUGAAGAAGGCAUUGGGGUUGGAAAGCCCUCUUGUUGGUAAAGAAAAGCAGCAGCUUAAUUCACCGCUGUUCUGACGGUACCCUAAGAAUAAGCACCGGCUAACUUCGUG
rnacentral:rRNA from 1 species